rnacentral:rRNA from 1 species
UACGUAGGGGGGCUAGCGUUGUCCGGAAUCAUUGGGCGUAAAGCGCGUGUAGGCGGCCCGGUAAGUCCGCUGUGAAAGUCGGGGGGCUCAACCCUCGGAUGCCGGUGGAUACUGUCGGGCUCGGAGUACGGAAGAGGCGAGUGGAAUUCCUGGUGUAGCGGUGAAAUGCGCAGAUAUCAGGAAGAACACCCGUGACUAAGGCGGCUCUCUAGUACGGUACUGACGCUGAGACGCGAAAGCGUGGGGAGCAAACAGG